GUUUAAGAAGUGCCUUAAAAACCAUCUCUUUAGGAAAGCUUAUGGCCUCCCAGAGUUACCUCUACCUUACAUACCUGUCUCUUGCUCUCUCCUAAAGGGCAGCACUCUACUCUCUCCUCCAGCUCUGCUUCACUCCCACCUUAUUUGAUUGCUACUCCCUGUCAUGUUGUGUUUUAUACCCCACCUAACACAGACUGUGAGCUUGUUUGAGCAGGGUCCUCUUCAACCUAUUGUUCCU